GUUGACCUCGGAUCAGGUAGGAGUUACCCGCUGAACU
rnacentral:rRNA from 1 species